GCGGGCAGGACCCUGAGGUGCGGGGUCUGGAAACUCCUCGGAGCUCGGGGCUCUCCGCCACAUUUCCGGGAGCUGGGGAGCCUGGAACUCUACACUCCCCUUUGCAAACGUUACUCCCCACAGCCUCUCUGGCUGCUGAAGGGAAGGAGGGCGCCACUGGCGAGCCGGCUGGCAGGCACUCCAGGUAGACGGCCCAGCGGGGAUGCGGCGCCCAGGCCAAGCAGAGGCCGCCAGGGCACGGCUGGAGCUGUGGGCUGCAGACCCAGCGCGUGGGACCCGGGACCUGCACGUGCUCCGGGAGGAAGGGGUUUACAGUUAUUGGGAACCUGGCCAGGAGCCCCAAGUGUCUCUGUUAAGGGUACAGCAAGAGGAUAAAAUAUGAGAGACAAAUUUCAUAAUACAUGAUGGCUGACUGGGAAGCUCUGGAUGGGCCAUGAGCUGACGCUCCAAGACAGCCACUAUUUAUUGGAGGUGUACAUUGAUGGCUGGAUUAGCGAAGGAGUCACAUUUGGCAGAAGACUCAGAGGUAAUAUGACUCAACUGGCAAUUAGAAUCCUGGUAUGACUCAAGAG
rnacentral:lncRNA from 1 species